UUCCGGUUGAUCCCGCCGGACCUGACUGCUAUCGGAUUGAUACUAAGCCAUGCGAGUCAUUGUAGCAAUACAAGGCAGACGGCUCAGUAACGCGUAGUCAACCUAACCUAUGGACGGGAAUAACCUCGGGAAACUGAGAAUAAUGCCCGAUAGAACACUAUAUCUGGAAUGGUUUGUGUUCCAAAUGAUUUAUCGCCGUAGGAUGGGACUGCGGCCUAUCAGUUUGUUGGUGAGGUAAUGGCCCACCAAGACUAUUACAGGUACGGGCUCUGAGAGGAGUAGCCCGGAGAUGGGUACUGAGACACGGACCCAGGCCCUAUGGGGCGCAGCAGGCGAGAAAACUUUGCAAUGUGCGAAAGCACGACAAGGUUAAUCCGAGUGGUUUCUGCUAAAGGAACCUUUUGUCGGUCCUAGAAACACCGAUGAAUAAGGGGUGGGCAAGUUCUGGUGUCAGCCGCCGCGGUAAAACCAGCACCUCAAGUGGUCAGGAUGAUUAUUGGGCCUAAAGCAUCCGUAGCCUGCUUUGUUAGUUUUCGGUUAAAUCUAUACGCUCAACGUAUAGGCUGCCGGGAAUACUGCAAAGCUAGGGAGUGGGAGAGGUAGACGGUACUCGGUAGGAAGGGGUAAAAUCCUUUGAUCUAUUGAUGACCACCUGUGGCGAAGGCGGUCUACCAGAACACGACCGACGGUGAGGGAUGAAAGCUGGGGGAGCAAACCGGAUUAGAUACCCGGGUAGUCCCAGCCGUAAACCAUGCAAACUCAGUGAUGCAUUGGCUUGUGGCCAAUGCAGUGCUGCAGGGAAGCCGUUAAGUUUGCCGCCUGGGAAGUACGUACGCAAGUAUGAAACUUAAAGGAAUUGGCGGGGGAGCACCACAAGGGGUGAAGCCUGCGGUUCAAUUGGAUUCAACGCCGGAA
rnacentral:rRNA from 1 species